rnacentral:rRNA from 1 species
GACGAACGCUGGCGGCGUGCCUAAUACAUGCAAGUAGAACGCUGAAGGAGGAGCUUGCUCUUCUGGAUGAGUUGCGAACGGGUGAGUAACGCGUAGGUAACCUGCCUGGUAGCGGGGGAUAACUAUUGGAAACGAUAGCUAAUACCGCAUAACAGUAGAUGUUGCAUGACAUUUGCUUAAAAGGUGCAAUUGCACCACUACCAGAUGGACCUGCGUUGUAUUAGCUAGUUGGUGGGGUAACGGCUCACCAAGGCGACGAUACAUAGCCGACCUGAGAGGGGGGUCGGCCACACUGGGACUGAGACACGGCCCAGACUCCUACGGGAGGCAGCAGGAGGGAAUCUUCGGCAAUGGACGGAAGUCUGACCGAGCAACGCCGCGUGAGUGAAGAAGGUUUUCGGAUCGUAAAGCUCUGUUGUAAGAGAAGAACGAGUGUGAGAGUGGAAAGUUCACACUGUGACGGUAUCUUACCAGAAAGGGACGGCUAACUACGUG